AACGUAGGAGACGAACGUUAUCCGGAGUUACUGGGCGUAAAGGGCGUGUAGGCGGUUUGUUAAGUCUGGCGUGAAAGCUCUCGGCUAAACCGGGAGAGGUCGUUGGAUACUGGCGAACUAGAGGAUGGUAGAGGCGUGUGGAAUUCCGGGUGUAGUGGUGAAAUGCGUAGAGAUCCGGAGGAACACCAGUGGCGAAGGCGACACGCUGGGCCAUACCUGACGCUAAAGCGCGACAGCGUGGGGAGCAAACGGG
rnacentral:rRNA from 1 species